UCUUACAGACAGCCACUAAACAAGGAAACACGAGAAUAAAGCCUCUGAACUGGCUCCAUGGCUGUAUCCUGCAGCCAUUGACACUUGUCUCAGUGCUGAACUUGAGUGUUCAAAGUGGACUGAAGGAGUUCCUAUGUCCACCUACUUCUAAUUCACAGGCUACAGUUUCAAAAUAGAGAAUGGUAUUCACUCAGACUGUGGAGGUGUUGCUCUGGCUAACUUAGCUAUAUCCCUCAGAAGGAGUGGGGUGAAGCACAUUCGCACAAUUUCAUAUCAUCCAGCCACAGACAGUAUGGGAGAAAAGAUCACUUGGACUGUGAAAGUGGUAUGAUAAAGAUGGCAAGACAUGAAACUAGGAGACAAACCUAUACACAUCAAGAAGACCAACACUUACUCUUGGGCAGGUGUGUCAGAGCACUUAAGGAUUUGGUGAAACCAGAGCCAUUUUAAAGCAGAGCUUCAAUGUGCUUCAUGACAAGAGGAUUCAUGAUCAUCAUUUGUAACUUCUGUUGAGGCAGCUGAUUCUCGUUUGGGCUUCAGGAUUCAGCCUCUGGCUGCUGGAUUGUUCCUGUCUGUAUCUCUUCCCUCCUGGAGCCAAGCCUAACUUCGCCUUGCCUGCAAUCCUUGUCUUCACUGCUGUCAAGUUCAACCACUGGAGCAAGAUAAGGAACUGUCUUUUGUUGUUUUGAACUGUUUUUGUGUCCACAACUUUGCUAGAUGCAGCGUGUAGUAAAAAUGUCCAUGAUGGCGGGAAGAGAGACCCCGAUGAACUUCUCAGCUGACCUCACUAUCCGCUGCAGGGUCUUGCGAUCCGAGAUGGUGCAAUUUCCAAACCAGGAAGUGAUGCAGCUGCUCAGGAUGCUCUCAAUACAACCCCUGUAGAAUGUGAUGAGGAUGGGGGUGGUGGGAGAUGGACUUUCCUCAGCCUUCACAAAAAGUAGAGACACUGCUGGGCUUUCUUUACUAUUGAGCUGGUGUUGAGGGACCAGGUGAGAUUCUCCGUCAGGUGAACACCAAGAAAUUUUGUGCUCUUUACGACCUCUACCGAGGAGCCGUCGAUGUUCAGCGGGGAGUGGUCGCUCCGUGCCCUCCAGAAGUCAACAACCAUCUCUUUUGUUUUGUUCACAUUAAGAGACAGGUUGUUGGCUCUGCACCAGUCCAUUAGCCGCUGCACCUCCUCUCUGUAAGCUGACUCGUUGUUCUUGCUGAUGAGACCCACCACGAAUAAUGACGUAAUUUCCGGAAUUCAGCUAUAUGUUCACGAAUCAUUGGCACGGUAGCAUACUAGCUAGUGCAAUGCUUUACAGUACUAGUGGCAUGGCUUCAAUUCUCACUGCUACCUGUAAGGAGAUUGCAUGUUCACCCGACGAAAACACAGGUUUCCUUCAGGUGCUCCAAGUUCCUCUCACUGUCCAAAGAGGUUAGCUGGGUAUUGUCCUGCGAUUAGGCUACUAUUAAUUGGGGGAUCUUUGGGCAGUGUAGCUCG